rnacentral:rRNA from 1 species
UACGGAGGAUCCGAGCGUUAUCCGGAUUUAUUGGGUUUAAAGGGUGCGUAGGUGGAUUGGUAAGUCAGUGGUGAAAGUUUGCAGCUUAACUGUAAAAUUGCCGUUGAAACUGCCGGUCUUGAGUGCAAAUGAGGUAGGCGGAAUGCGUCGUGUAGCGGUGAAAUGCUUAGAUAUUACACAGAACACCGAUUGCGAAGGCAGCUUGCUGGGUCAUUACUGACGCUGAUGCACGAAAGCGUGGGGAUCAAACAGGAUUAGAUA